rnacentral:misc_RNA from 1 species
GAUGAAGAACGCAGCGAAAUGCGAUAAGUAAUGUGAAUUGCAGAAUUCAGUGAAUCAUCGAAUCUUUGAACGCACAUUGCGCCCGCUGGUAUUCCGGCGGGCAUGCCUGUUCGAGCGUCAUUUCAACCCUCAAGCUCUCCGGAGUUUGGUGUUGGGGCGCCUGGGGCUUUUCGACCUCAGGGCCCUCAAGUCCAUCGGCGGGACCGCCAGGACACUGAGCGCAGUAGUAUUAUUUCGCUCGGUAGGAUCUUCCACGGCGGGUCGAUCUGGCCGCUAAACCCCCCAAUUCUCACCAAAGGUUGACCUCGGAUCAGGUAGGAAUACCCGCUGAACUUAAGCAUAACAAUAAGCGGAGGA